CCUCAUCACUCUCCUCCUUGCUCUUCUAAUCUCACACUCAUGGCUAUUCAAAUCCCAAAUCAAACCCAAAAAAUCCCCUCCAGGGCCAAAAGGGUUUCCCAUUUUUGGUUGCCUUCAUUUACUAGGAAAACUCCCUCACAGAAAUCUCCACGAAUUAUCCCAAAAGUAUGGACCCAUAAUGAGCAUGAAACUAGGGCUUGUUCCCACCAUCAUAGUCUCAUCCCCUCACGCCGCCCAACUCUUCCUCAAAACCCACGACCUCAUUUUUGCAAGCCGCCCCUCUUCACAAGCUUCAAAACACAUCUCUUAUCAACAAAAAAAUUUAGUCUUUGCUCCAUAUGGUCCUUAUUGGCGCAACAUGCGUAAAAUGUGCACUCUUGAAUUGCUUAGUAACCUUAAAAUCAAUUCUUUCAUGCCUAUGAGAAAACACGAGCUUGGUUUGUUGAUUGAGUACUUAAAAGAAGCUGCUCAUAACAAAGCUGUUGUGAAUCUGAGUGCUAAAGUUACGUCACUUACAACUGACAUUAUUUGUUUGAUGGCAUUUGGAAAGAAAUAUGGAGAUGAAGAAAUUGAUGAAAGGGGUUUUAAGGCUGUAAUACAAGAAGGUAUGCAGUUGUCUGCUGCGCCUAAUUUGGGGGAUUUUAUUCCGGCAAUUGCUUGGCUUGAUCUUCAAGGAUUUACUCGUAAAAUGAAACGUGUUCAUAAGGUGUAUGAUGAAUUUCUUGAAAAGAUUAUUAAUGAACAUCUUGUGGCUAGAGGUGGGAAGAAGACUAGGGAUUUUGUUGAUGUUAUGUUGGAUCUUAUUGGUUCUCAACAAACUGAGUAUCAAAUUGAUCGUUCUGCUAUUAAAGCUAUAAUGCUGGUAUGCCUACCUCUUUCUUCUAUUUCUAUCUUUUCAAUCCUACGUCUUCUCAAACUUUUUAUAUUUUUAUUUUUGUACAUCACUUACCUUAAAAAGAAUAAUAAAUUGCUAUCCAAUUAUAAUGAAAGGUUAAAAAAACAAACGUUUUUUUUUGUGUUUUUUCUUAUAUUUUUUUAUUAACCUAACAAAUGUGGUGGGAAGGUUCUUUAACAUAUGUGCUGAAGAAAGGAGAUUGUUAUGAAUUUUGUGUUUGAUUUUGAUGAUUAUUGUUUAAUAAAUCUUUAAAAUAAUUUUGUGUCAAUUAUUGAUUAUUAAAAUUUUUAUUUAUGUAUUUAAUAUAGGUCAUUAACCUAUCAUAUUCAACAUUUUUAAAGUUCUAAUUUAGUUUAUAGUUAUAUUAAACAUGAAAUUUAAAUUAGUGUCGAUUGAACAACUCAUUUUGAAAAUUUUUACCUGUCCAUGUUGGUUAAAGACAUUUAAUCUUACAUUUAAUGUAAAAAAAAAAAAACAAAAAACAAAAAAAAAUUAUCAUGGAGACACUUACUUUACAUUAAAUUAUAUUAUCCCCUAAUUAAUGAACUAAGAAAAACAGUAUAUUUACUUUUUAUCGGUGCAAUUAUGAGGAUGGCUGAAGAGCGAUAGAACAGAAGUGGACAGAUAUCUUUGAAAUAUAAAAGAAAUCACUAAAUAUUUACCCAAGAAUAAAUAUAUCACUAAAAUUCAAAAGUGAUUUACAAACCAUUUUUUGCUUUUGGAUAAAUAUUUUGUCAAUUAUUGGAUACUAUUUUUAGAAAUAAUAAAGGUGUAUAAUAACAUUACUAAAAAAUUUAAAAUAUAAUGGAGUUUGUGAUUUAUCCCUAGAUUUUCACUGCUAUUUUUCAAUAAACUUGUACUUAUGAUAUGAUUUAGAUUUUGAAAACUGGUUGUUGUAAACUUUUUUCCUUGUUCUACAUUAACUUGUCUAUUAUAUGAGAUCCACUAACAUUGAUUUAAAAUUUAUUGAUAUUUAUGUAAUGAAAUAUAUAAUGUGAAAGAAAAAUAUAUGGUAACCAUACUUGUGAAGGUCGGCAUUCAAAUUAUCUUUAUUAUUUACCUUUAUUGAACAACACAAAAGAAUAUUCCACAAAUAUAGGGAAAAAAAACUUGGUUUAUCUUAUUUAUUUAUUUGGUUGUUUGUACUAUUAAAUGCAUUGUCAUCCCCAUACUCUAUCCCUUUAGUUUAUAUUUAUUGUGUUGGGUACUUCUUGUAGGAUAUGCUUGCAGCAGCAAUGGACACAUCAUCAACAACAAUAGGAUGGGCAAUGUCAGAGCUAAUAAGACAUCCAGAUGUAAUGAAGAAAAUGCAAGAUGAAUUACAAGAAGUUGUUGGUUUACACAGAAUGGUUCAAGAAUCUGACUUAGUAAGCUUAGAGUACUUAGAAAUGGUAGUGAAAGAGAUUAUGAGGCUAUAUCCAGCAGGUCCAUUAUUGAUUCCACGCGAGUCUCUUGAAGACUGCACUGUCGAUGGGUUCCAUAUUCCCAAGAAAUCAAGAGUAAUGGUAAAUGUAUGGACUAUUGGGCGAGACCCGAGUGUUUGGAAUGAUCCACACAAGUUCUUUCCUGAGAGGUUUAUUGGUAGCAAAAUAGAUUUGAAGGGUAAUGAUUUUGAAUUGAUUCCAUUUGGUGGUGGGCGUAGAGGAUGCCCUGGAAUACAAUUGGGCUUAACUAUGGUUCGGUUAUUGUUGGCUCAACUUGUGCAUUGUUUUGAUUGGAAGCUUCCAAAUGGUAUGUUGCCAUCUGAAUUAGAUAUGACCGAAGAAUUUGGAUUGACUUGUCCUAGAGCAAAAGAUCUCAUGGUUAUUCCUACCUUUCGUCUUAAUGAUUCAAUUAGUACUAAGAAUUUGUCUUCUUGAAUAACCUAGAUAAUAUAUAAGUAAUGAUUGAUAAUAUAUAAUAAUGGUCAAGAUAAAGAGUGAUUGAAAUACUCUCUUUAUAUAAAUAAUAAUAUACAUAGAAACUUUUAUCAUCCUUUACCACUUCUUCCCGUUAGUUGAAAUAAAUGAAUAACAUUCGUCUUAUUUGAUAAUUAUUUGAUUAUUUAAAUUAAAAAUGAAGCUCGUAAAAUGAUAUUUUACGUAUAUAGUUUUGAAAACUUUUUAAAAAUAUACAUGGUCUUUUUGUUCACAAAUUUUUUAUACAAAUUACUUUGGAAUUUUGUUAUUGAAUUUUGAUUUAUUUUUAUUAAAAAAAUAAAUGGAAACAGGAAAAAGGUAAGGAAAUUAAAAAGGGGGAUGAGUAUAAGAGUGGCCAAAACUCCAAGCCAUGCCCAAUCAAUGAUACAUUUGUAAGCAUGGACAAAGAAAGUAUUUGGCAGUGAUCUAUCAGUACAAAGAAUUUGUUUUUGUAAUUUAUAUCUCACAAAGACGUGAACAAGAGUGUACCAACUUUACACAAAUCAUAUUGACCAUUCAUCAUAAUUAUCACGACCAUCACAUCAAAUUUUUAUGGGUUUAAUAUUUUAAAUAAAAUAUUAUUUCGAUUCCUAUACUUUUAAAUAUUACAUUUUUAACAAAUUUAAAAUAAACUCAUCUCUUCUGUUUUUGGUUAAAAUUAUGUACCCAAACUGUUACAUGGUAAAUAAAUUCAAAGCGAUAAACAAUUGGAACAACGUCCACCAUGGGUGUUUGAACUAGAGUGAGAGAAUGUGGGAUGGACUUUACUUUGAACAUUUAAUUUUGAUAGGGAAUGGGUGUGUUGAAGUUCAGAACAGUUGGAUAAAACCACAACAAUUUUUCAUUUUCAACUCACAUAAUUUUUUCUUCAUUUUAUUCAAAACAAAAUAUAUGUACUUUAAUAAAUGUUAAAUAUAAUCUUAUAGUCUCCUUGUAACUAGAUCAACCUCUAAUUUUAAACUAUACAUUAUAUAUUUAUUUAAGAUUACAUGAAUAAUUACUAUUUUCAUUAUAAAAAAAUUAACAUUAAAAAAAAGAAUCUUUUUUUAUGGUGAAGAAAGAGAUCGUAUUCAUAUUCCAUGUUGUCAACAUUUGAUGAUAAAAGAAUACACAAAAAAAAAAGAUAUUCUCGUCACUUCACUCCUCUAUGUCAUCGAAUAUAAAAUAUGUCGAUGUUGUUAGUGAAAUUCUAAUUUUUUAAGUUCUAUUAAUAAAAUAUCGACAUCAAUAAUUAAGUUACUAAAUAUUGGUCGACAUGUUUGUUUGGACAUAAAUCCGGAUGGAUGUUAGAACUAUUAAAAUAAGCAACAAUGUCGGAGGACCAAUAAUGUCUAUUAUGUUUUGAGAUAUUGUUAACUUUAAUUUAAUUUUAAUUUUGAUUGGAUUAUGCUGUAUUGUAGCUUGGCAUGAAACCAUAAAAUUUCAUGAAUAAAAAGUUAUUUAUUUAGUGGUUGCAACAAAAAGUAAGUAUGAGAAAACCAAGAUAAAAGAAAAUCGACAAUAAUUAUGUGCAAAAUAGGUUGCAUUUAUAUCAUGUAUAAUCUUUUUUAACAUAGUAAAAAAUAAUAAUAAUCAAUUUCUUUAAAAGAAAUUAAAACCCAAAAAUACGCUCACCAUUCACCAAUCAUCACCUAAAGACACUCCAAAGGUUAAAAUUAAAAUAUGUCUAUAUUGAAAUUUUAAUUUUAUAGUUAUAUUGAUAAAAUAAAGGUAGAGAUCAAAGAAAGUGUAGGUUUGAGAUCGAUUUUAAAAUAAUUUAAAGCACUUGUUUAUCUAAAAUUAUUCUAAAACACAUUUUUUUUUAAAAAUUUCACGUUGAAUUUUACCGUCUUAAACCAAAAUUUUCAUACUAAUAUAAUUAAAAUUGAACUAAUACUUUUUCUUAUUUUCAAAACCACUCUCAAUCUUAGUUGAUAUUUGAUGCAUAUCUUUAUCAUUGUUUUAUCCUUUUUCACACAACCCAACCCAUCUAUUUAUAAUCUCAACUACAUAUCCAAGACCCCAACACUAUCAUCUCAUUUGAACAAAAUCUAAGCCGUCCCAACAGUAGAGAGACACUAAAAAAGAGCCUAUGGCUUUGAUUUUGGUCGUCGUCGUCGUCAUCACUCUCCUCCUUGCUCUUCUAAUCUCACAUUCAUGGCUAUUCAAAACCCAAAUCAAACCCAAAAAAUUCCCUCCAGGGCCAAAAGGGUUUCCCAUUUUUGGUUGCCUCCAUUUACUAGGAAAACUCCCUCACAGAAAUCUCCACGAAUUAUCCCAAAAAUAUGGACCCAUAAUGAGCAUGAAACUAGGGCUUGUUCCCACCAUCAUAGUCUCAUCCCCUCAAGCCGCCAAACUCUUCCUCAAAACCUACGACCUCAUUUUUGCAAGCCGCCCCUCUUCACAAGCUUCAAAACACAUCUCUUAUCAACAAAAAAAUUUAGUCUUUGCUCCAUAUGGUCCUUAUUGGCGCAACAUGCGUAAAAUGUGCACUCUUGAAUUGCUUAGUAACCUUAAAAUCAACUCUUUCAUGCCUAUGAGAAAACACGAGCUUGGUUUGUUGAUUGAGUACUUAAAAGAAGCUGCUCAUAACAAAGCUGUUGUGAAUCUGAGUGCUAAAGUUACGUCACUUACAACUGACAUUAUUUGUUUGAUGGAAUUUGGGAAGAAAUAUGGAGAUGAAGAUUUUGAUGAAAGAGGGUUUAAGGCUGUAAUACAAGAAGGUAUGCAGUUUGCUGCUGCGCCUAAUUUGGGGGAUUUUAUUCCGGCAAUUGCUUGGCUUGAUCUUCAAGGAUUUACUCGUAAAAUGAAACGUGUUCAUAAGGUGUAUGAUGAAUUUCUUGAAAAGAUUAUUAAUGAACAUCUUGUGGCUAGAGGUGGGAAGAAGACUAGGGAUUUUGUUGAUGUUAUGUUGGAUCUUAUUGAUUCUCAACAAACUGAGUAUCAAAUUGAUCGUUCUGCUAUUAAAGCUAUAAUGCUGGUAUGCCAAUUCUUCUAUUUCUACUUUUUUUAAUCCUACGUUUUCUCAAACUUUUUUAGAUUAAAAGAAAAAUAUAUUAUAUUUAGGGUAAUAUUUGGAUGCAUAUUUAUUUUUGUCCAACACAUACCUUAAAAAAAUUAAAAUAUUUCAAAAAUGAACUAAGUUGCUACGUUAUUAUAUGUUAUAAUUGGAUAAUUUGGUGUACCAAAACAAAUAUAAUCUUUGUGUUUUUUCUUAAAACAAAUGUGGUGGGAAGGUUCUUUUAACAAAUGAACUGAAGGAAAUGAGGGUGUUAUGAAUUUUGAGUUUAAUACUGGUUAUUGUUGUUUAAUAAAUCUUUAAAAUAAUUUUUUGUCAAUUGAUUACUGAUUUGUUUUAAUUAUUUAAUAUAGGUCAUUAACCUAUCUUACAUUUUCUCAAAAAAAAAAAAGAAAAAAAAAGAAAAGAGAAAACAUCAUGGUGACACUUACUUUAAAUUAAAUUAUCUUAUCCCCUAUUUAAUGAACACUAUAUUUAUUGCUUAUCGGUGCAAUUAUGGGGGUGGCUGAAGAGAGAGAAAACAUGUGGACAGAUAUCUUUGAAAUAUAGAAGAAAUCACAGAAAUAUUUACCCAAAAAAACAUCACAAAUUCAAAAGUUAUUUACAAACCAUUUUUCUUUACAAUUUUAGAUAAAUAUUUUGUUGAUUUCAUCGAAAACUUUUAGAUAUUGAUGAGGUGAUGUUUUAGAAACAAUAAUUAAGUGUAUUAUAGUAUUUUAAAAUUAUAAAUAUAACAUAGUUAAUUUAUAUUUAUUUUAUACUUUUAUAACUUUUUUUUGUUUGAAAACUGGUUAUUUAAUUAUUAUUUUUCUUUGUUCCACAUCAACUUGUUUACAUUGAUGUAAAAUUUAUUGAUAUUCAUAAUGUGAAAAAAGAAAAAAAAAGGGUAAACAUACUUGUGAAGGCCGGCAUCCAAAUUAUUAUAAUUAGUUAAUUUUAUUAUUUAACUUUGUUUAUGGAAGAACACAAAAGAAUAUUCCACACUUAUUGAAAAAUAAUACUUGGGUUUCUAUUUUUUAAUUAAUAGUAUGAAAGAUUUAAUUUAAAAGUAGAGAGACCCACAAUAAUAAAUUAGAAGUAAUGAAAUCAAUUGUUAUUAAUAGUUUUACUUAAUUACGUAUUUCUGUUUUUGGUUGGGUUCUUUUAGGAUAUGCUUGCAGGAGCAAUGGAUACAUCAUCAACAACAAUAGGAUGGGCAAUGUCAGAGCUGAUUAGACAUCCAGAUGUAAUGAAGAAAAUGCAAGAUGAAUUACAAGAGGUUGUUGGUUUACACAGAAUGGUUCAAGAAUCUGACUUAGUAAACUUAGAAUACUUGGAAAUGGUAGUGAAAGAGAUUAUGAGGCUAUAUCCAGCAGGUCCAUUAUCCAUUCCACGCGAGUCUCUUGAAGACUGCACUGUCGAUGGGUUCCAUAUUCCCAAGAAAUCAAGAGUAAUAGUGAAUGUAUGGGCUAUUGGGCGAGACCCGAGUGUUUGGAAUGAUCCACACAAGUUCUUUCCUGAGAGGUUUAUUGGUAGCCAAAUAGAUUUGAAGGGUAAUGAUUUUGAAUUGAUUCCAUUUGGUGGUGGGCGUAGAGGAUGUCCUGGAAUGCAAUUGGGCUUAACUAUGGUUCGGUUAUUGUUGGCUCAACUUGUGCAUUGUUUUGAUUGGGAGCUUCCAAAUGGUAUGUUGCCAUCUGAAUUGGAUAUGACCGAAGAGUUUGGAUUGACUUGUCCUAGAGCAGAAGAUCUUAUGGUUAUUCCUACCUUUCGUCUUAAUGAUUCAAUUAGUACUAAGGAUUCGUCUUCUUGAAUGAUGUAGAUUAUAUCUAGGUAAUGGUUGAUAUUAUAAUAAUGAUUAAGAUAAAGAGUGGUUGAAAAGCUCUCCAUAUAUAUGAAUGAUAAUACACAUAGAAAAUUUUAUCUUUCUUGCCACAUCUGGUCGUUAAUUGAAAUAAAUGGAUAAUAAUAAUCAUUUUAUUUGAUUUUUUAAAUUGAAAAUGAAGCUUGUAAAACGAUAAUUUUAUCUAUAAGUUUAUUUAUUUCAUAAUCCACUUUUAAUCAUUUGUUUAAACAUGAAGUUAUCUAGUUUCAAAAACUUAUAGAAAGAGAUACUGGACUAUUCUGUUCACAUUUAUUUUUAGUUAUAGUUUCAAAAACUUAUAGAAAGAGAUACUGGACUAUUCUGUUCACAUUUAUUUUUAGUUAUAGUCCACAUUUGUUUUUAGUUUGUAUAAAUAACUCAACUUGCUUAUAUUUAGUUUGUAUAAAUAACUCAACUUGCUUAUAUUUAUUUGGAUAACUUGUUUUCUUUUACACUUCACAUGUAUUAAGGAAAAUGAUUUUCUAACUUCAACCUAACUUCAUACUUACUGUGAAUUUAAAUACUUACCUUAAGAAAGAUGACGACUCCAACAUCCAAAAUGGGUAAUUUUUUUUCUCUCUCAAGUGUCCAUUUACUUGGGUUGAACUAUUAGUUUGAUUUGAGAUGACAUUGAGUGUAGAUUUAUAAAUAAUUACGACAAAGACGAAAAAUGGGAACCACCUUAAGAUUUUGGGCUCUAGGACAGAUCAACCCCAAAAUUUCUGUCAUGUCCAAUUCAAGGGGUGACAUACCAUUGGGAGGCUUCAAAUCAAAACAGUGUACUAAUUGAGCCACUACAAGACGAACCACAACCAAAGCUAAUUGUAUUCCAACACAGCCUCUUCGACCCGAUCCAAAUGGAAUUAGUUCAAAAUCUCUUCCUUUCACAUCCACUUCACUUUCCAAAAAUCUCUCCGGAUCAAACUUGUGAGGAUCAACCCAAGUAUUUGGAUCUCUUCCAAUGGCCCAUGCAUUUAUUACUAUUCUUGAUUUCUCAGGGAUAUGAUACCCAUUUAUAUUGCAAUCUUGUAUGCAUUCUCUUGGAAUUAAUGGAACUGGUGGAUGCAUUCUCAAACUCUCUUUUAUUACCAUCUCCAAGUAUUUCAAGUUACUUAAGUCUGAUUCUUCCACCAUUCUAUUCAGUCCUACCACUUUUUCUAAUUCUUCUUGCAACUUUUUCAUUAUGUGUGGAUUCUUAAUAAGUUCUGAUAACAUCCAAUUGAUUGUUGUUGUUGUACUAUCCACGGCUGCAAUAAGGAAAUCCUGCAAAAAAAUUAAGAAAUAUUCUCAGGUUUAGUUAUACAUUCUUUAAAAUAAUUUAAAAUGAGAGUUUAGCAAAAUUUCAUCUAUUAUAGAGAUCUAUCCAUUUUUUGGCUUAUCACUAAUAAACAAUAAUUUCUUUUUGCUGUAUUUAAAAACAAGCUCUUUCAAAUUAAACACUAAAGAAAAAAGAAAUCCAAGAUACACUCUCAAUCAAUCAAUUCACUUACCAGGAUUAUAGCUUUGAUAUUUGAUCGAUCAAUUUGGUACUCUCGAGAUCCCAUCAAAUCCAACAAAACAUCCACAAAAUCCUUGUCUUUAUUAUCCCUCUGGAACACAACAUGUUCUUCAACAAUCCUCUCUAAGAACCCAUCAAAUAUUUUCCCAACAGCUUUUGCACGACCCCCAAAUCCUUGAACAUCAAACCUUGCAAUUAAAGGAAUAAAAUCUCCCAAAUUAGGAGCUGCCGCUAAUUGUGUAGCCUCUCGUAUCAAACCCUUAAACCCCUUUUCAUCCAACUCAUUAUCUUCAUAUUUUCUCCCCAACACCAUUACACAUAUCAUAUCUCCAAUAACACAAGAAAUUUUAGAAGUAAGAUCCACAGCCACGCCAUCUGUAGCAGCCACUUCAAGACCUCAAUCAACGAACCAACCUCUUGCUUUCUCAUUGAGGAAAAAGAGUUGAUUUUUAAGGAGCUAAGCAAUUCAAGAGUGCACAUCUUGCGAAUAUUGCGCCAAUAAGGACCAUAUUGAGCAAAAGCUACGCCCUUUCUACCGUAAGAAAUAUGGUUGGAAGUGAUGGUAAGAGGUCGGCUCGCAAAAUGAAGGUCGUGAGUUUUAAGGAAGAGCUCGGUUGCUCUAGGGGAGGAGACGAUAAUGGCGGGGAGAAAACCUAAUUGGAUGUGCAUUAUGGGACCGUAUAUUUGGGAUAAGUAAUGAAGGUCUCUGUGAAUGAGUUUGCCUAAUAGAUGAAGGCUUCCAAUAAUUGGAAACCCUUUUGGGCCAGGAGGGAGUUUGUUGCAUAAGGACUUGGUCUUGAGAAGCCAUUGUUGAAAGAGGUAAGGGAGAAGGAAGAUGAGUGUAAUUGUGGUCAAAAUAAUCCAAGUCAUGGCAAUUAUAUUAGAGAUGUAUUUGUGAGGUUAUGUGUAGGGUUUAUAAUAUAUUGAUAUAUUUCUAUUUAUAAAACGUUUUUCAUCGUUAACUGACCGUUUUUAGUUUUUGGUUUUGAAAUUUAUGAUUGUUUUAUCCCAAUUUUUUAAAAAUCGUUUUGGUUUUUCUUUAGUUAGAACAAAAACACUUUCUUUUUUUUUAAAAAAAUUAAAGUAAGAUCUAACUUUUUUACAUUUUUUAAAAUUAGUUUUUAAGGCUACAUUAAAUAAUUACCGUUUGAUUUUUGAAAAUCAAAGUUUUCUAGGAAUUGUUGUCUAUAUUUUAUGACUAUUUUCAAAAUCAAAACCAAAAAGUUGAAAACUAAAAAAGUUGGUUCAUGUUAAUUGAUCUAUAGCUCGCGUUAUAAUUUUCGCCUUCACAAAACAUUAUCAUAUUGAUUAUGCCGCACAUAUUUUUAAUUUCUACAUUAAAUAUGGUAACUGACCUACUAGUUUCUAUUAAUAAGCUAAUUAAUUACUCUAAUAACGGCUUAUAAAUUAAAAUAUUUACAAAUUAUAAUAAAAUUUUAGAUUUUUUAUAUUCGUUAUUAAUGUCACUCAUAAACACAUAUAAAUGUCUAUUAUUGAUAUAUAUUGAAAUUUGACAAUUUUCUUAAAUUAAAAUAUAAUUGUGGUCAUCACAAGAUUAUCAUUUAUAACUAUAUUUGUCGUAAUAAGUAUAUAUACCCUUGCUCACAAUGUUGAGUGCAAAGUUUGAGGUUGGAUUUACAUCCCCAUUUUUGUUACCCUGGAUGAUUUUUUUGCUUAUGUCUUGUGAUGUUUAACCGUUUCUCGUGGAGCUUUUGCCUCUCUUGCAAUAUGUCUUAAAAAAAGUGAGUUUUCAUAUGUAGUAAAUUUUUCAGGUAGAUUACUUAUGAGUUAAAACCAUAAUAACCAAAUUGUUAGAUAUUAUGUUAAAUUUGUCUUUAUCCAUAAGUUUAAAUAUUUAGGUCAAUUGGUGAUUUAGAUGGAUAAUUAGAACAUGUGGUCUAGGAAAGUUAUGUUUUCAAGUCCAUGUGUAGUUUCUUCUCCGAUCAUUAUUAAUUUUCACUUCAAAUUUUAAGCUCAUAAAUGAGAAGGAAAGUUAGAUAUUAUAUUAGUUUUAAUUAUUGACUAAACUUAAAGUUUUGAGUCGAAACUUUAUAAAUCAAAAUAUAUAUAAAAUAUAUUUUACCAAAUUAAAACUAACUUGGAACAGUAGGAAUUAAAUUGAAAGAAAAACUCUGAAAUAGUUAGAAGAAAAAAUUAAUUAAAGACUUAACAAGAUUAAAAAGUACUAUAAAAUAUUUUCUAUGGAUAUAUAUGCUUGAAUGUUUACCUUACAUGUUAAAUGAAAAAAUAUACUUAAACUUUCCUUUAAAAAAUAUUAAUUAUGAUUUGAAAAUUAUAGAAAAAUUGUCCAAAAAUAUUUAAAUUUUAUAAUAUAAAAUUUUGUUAUAUAUUUGUAAAAAUUUAGUUUUUAGAUUCAAUUUUGUUAUAUUUUAAAAUGGUUCGGAAUUCUUUUGCUAAAAUAUUGAAAUUAAUGAGGUCAUUUAACUAAUUGACUACGGCGAUUUCGUAUUUAUGGUCCUUAUUUGGAAAUUUAAUAACUUAAAAUCUAAUAUCAUAUAAUUAAUAAUUAGGUAUGCACUUAAUUAUGAUUCACGAGUUUUUGUACAAAAAUGAUUGAUGGAGUUUCAUUUCAUCGAUUAAUUAUUGGUGGGGUUUUACAAAUUAUGAUUGCCCUUUGAAUAUAUAGCUCUACUUUUACUAACAUGUGGUGUUGGUGCAUUCAACCUCUAACUAAUUCCCUUAAUAAUACAAACACCAUUCAAUUUCAUGAAAUUAUAUUUCUUUACUUUUCAUACCCACCUUUUUUUCUCCCAUUUUCAUUCAAUAAUUUUUUAAAGAUUCAUAUUAUCAUACUUUUAGCUCAGUUAAUGUGAUGUUUAUCUCCGUGAUUAACGGUUAAGUUUACCUUUUUUUUCUUUACAAAGUUUUAACUUUAGAUAUUACGAUACAAAGUUGAUAAAUAUAACAAAAUUUAGAUUUAGCUUUCAAAACAGUCUAUCAAAAAUGAUGGUUUGAAAGGCUAUCAGCAGUGGUUAUUGAAAAAUGAUUGUCAACGGUUGUGGCAUGAAUAGUGGUUGGAGGUUGGCUAGUGGGGAUCAACGAAAGUGGUGACUAAAUUUUUUUACACAAAUUAGAAGAGAUUAAAACCGUUAAAACAUUCCAAGUUUAUUUUUCUAAAAGUUGGUUUGUAAACAUUUACCCUAAAAUAACUUAUUUUAUAAACUUGAUUUUUCAAAAUUUAUUUUAGAUAAUUGUCAAAUACAUGAAUUUUUUUUUUCUUUAAAACAACUUAUUUUUUAAUUUAAACAUUUGGAAAAGACGAUCCAAACCCACAAUCUAAAUUACCUUAAAAGGUAUGGGAACGCACUUUAGUCUUUUGCUUAAGUUGCCUCUUGAAAUCUUGUAUUUGAAUGGAAAGCUGAACUAAAAUUAAAUUGAAACAAAAAAGACUUUGUUUCUAGCAACCUUGAUUGUAUUUUCCCAAGAUUUUGUUCUUUGCAGAUCAGCUACGUAGUACGAUCAAUUGGGUAUUUGGAAAAUAGUUGCGGUUCAAAUUCAUCCACUCUGCCAAAGAAAAAACAAAAACAACAGAUCAGUAUCAAUAAAUCAAGUAGGGCCUAAACCAAAAAGAUGUUUAUCUUGACAAUUAGCCCAACCUAACUUUCAUCUCUAUAUCCUUCUUCCAUUCCAACACCAAAUCCCCCAAACACUGAAGUCUCCAAAAUUUGGUUCAUAUGGCUUUGAUUUUUGCCAUUAUUUCUACAUUAGCUCUUCUUGCUCUCACUCUUCUCUUCAAAUUCUACCCCUUCAAAGCCCAAAAAUUGCCUCCUGGUCCUAUAGGAUUUCCCUUUGUUGGUAGUCUCCAUUUAUUAGGAAAGCUCCCUCAUAGAGAUUUUCAUAUAUUAUCCCAAAAAUAUGGACCCAUUAUGCACAUAAAAUUAGGUCUUGUUCCCACAAUCAUAGUCUCUUCUCCUAAAGCUGCUGAACUCUUCCUCAAAACUCAUGACCUUGUUUUUGCAAGCAGGCCCCUUUUAGAAGCCUCAAAGCAAAUGAAUUAUGGGCAAAAGAACUUAGUUUUUGCCCCAUAUGGUCCUUAUUGGCGCAACAUGCGUAAAAUGUGCACUCUUGAAUUGCUUAGUAACCUUAAAAUCAACUCUUUCAUGCCUAUGAGAAAACACGAGCUUGGUUUGUUGAUUGAGUACUUAAAAGAAGUUGCUCACAACAAAGCUGUUGUGAAUCUGAGUGCUAAAGUUACGUCACUUACAACUGACCUUAUUUGUUUGAUGGCAUU
rnacentral:lncRNA from 1 species